CAAAAUUAAAAAUGCAGUAUAAUGCUUACUUACAUAGCAGUUACAUUGUAUUUGGUACUAUAGGUAAUCUAGAGAUGAUUUAAAGUAUAUUGGAAGCUGUGUGUAGGUUGUAUGCAAAUGCUAUACCAUUUUAUAGAAAAGAUUUGAGCAUC